ACAACGGACUAAUCCACUAAACGAAGCUACGUCGUUUCAGUUUAGGGUUACAUUUGGGCGUCUCUCUCCGAGAUCUCAACGAGAGUCAUCGUGAUUUUGUGUGUUUUUGAUUAUCUGAAAUCGAAACAGCUCCCAUAGCUUCUUCUCAAUUUUCUUCAAUUGUUGUUACCCUUCUCCCAAAUUCACGACUUUCUUCUGGGUUCGUCGGAACACUCACGGCAUUUGGUCGUGUCGGAGAGAGAUCUCAACAAGAGUCAUUGAUAUUCAUUUGAUCGUCGCAACGCAACACUUAAUAAUGAUUUGAAGGAAGUUGCGACUCUUUAAGCUCUUAAGAGUAAAGCAAGGCUAAGCUUAAGGAACGUUUCAAGACUGGGAAGAACAGGUGGUUCUUUACUAAGCUCAGGUUCUGAAUAACCUUUGAGAUUUUAUCUUUAUCGAAUUUUACAACUAUCUAUCUACUUUUUUUUGUUUAGUUCUAUAAUGAAUUUGGAUAAUUGUCAUGACUUUUAGUUCUGGAUUUUGUCUUUUUACUUAUGAUCAUUUGCUAUAUUGAUGCCUCCAUUUGAUAUGUUGUCACUGGUUUAAUAGUUUAUUGCUUACCAAACCUUGAAGAUGGUCAAAUGCUGCUCUAGACUCUGUUGUUUACUUUUAGGGAACAUAGAGAGCCGUAGAAGCAUUUUUGAGUUGUCAUCAUGUUGAUCUUUGACGGGCCUAAACGGGCUUUUAGAAAUUUGGCGGGCUUAAACGGGUAGGAGACUAAACGGGUUUCAAAAUAUUUAGUUAAACAGGCAUGGGCCUAGCAAAUUCUCUUCUAAAGUGGUACGCCAUCUUCUAAAGUGGUCGACUGG